rnacentral:rRNA from 1 species
ACUCAAAUGAAUUGACGGGGGCCCGCACAAGCGGAGGAACAUGUGGUUUAAUUCGAUGAUACGCGAGGAACCUUACCCGGGCUUGAACGUAAGAGGAAUAUAGUGGAAACAUUAUAGCUAGCAAUAGCCGCUUACGAGGUGCUGCAUGGUUGUCGUCAGCUCGUGCCGUGAGGUGUCGGCUUAAGUGCCAUAACGAGCGCAACCCCUAUCAUUAGUUGCCAGCGGGUGAUGCCGGGAACUCUAAUGAAACUGCCAGCGUAAGCUGUGAGGAAGGUGGGGAUGACGUCAAAUCAGCACGGCCCUUACGUCCGGGGCUACACACGUGUUACAAUGGAUGGUACAGAGGGCAGCUACUCCGCGAGGAGAUGCUAAUCUUCAAAGCCAUUCUCAGUUCGGAUUGGAGUCUGCAACUCGACUCCAUGAAGCUGGAUUCGCUAGUAAUCGCGUAUCAGCAAUGACGCGGUGAAUACGUUCCCGGGCCUUGUACACACCGCCCGU